rnacentral:rRNA from 1 species
AAAAAACUUUCAGCAAUGGAUGUCUUGGCUCGCGCAUCGAUGAAGGACGCAGCGAAAUGCGAUACGCAUUGUGAU